rnacentral:rRNA from 1 species
CUUAAUACCGGAUGCUUGAUUGAACCGCAUGGUUCAAUUAUAAAAGGUGGCUUUUAGCUACCACUUACAGAUGGACCCGCGGCGCAUUAGCUAGUUGGUGAGGUAACGGCUCACCAAGGCAACGAUGCGUACCCAACCUGAGAGGGUGAUCGGCCACACUGGGACUGAAACACGGCCCAAACUCCUACGGGAGGCAGCAGUAGGGAAUCUUCCGCAAUGGACAAAAGUCUGACGGACCACCGCCGCGGGAGUGAUGAAGGUUUUCGGAUCGUAAAACUCUGUUGUUAGGGAAAAACAAGUACCGUUCGAAUAGGGCGGUACCUUGACGGUACCUAACCAAAAAGCCACGGCUAACUACGUGCCAGCAGCCGCGGUAAUACGUAGGUGGCAAGCGUUGUCCGGAAUUAUUGGGCGUAAAGCGCGCGCAGGCGGUUUCUUAAGUCUGAUGUGAAAGCCCCCGGCUCACCCGGGGAGGGUCAUUGGAAACUGGGGAACUUGAGUGCAAAAAAGGAGAGUGGAAUUCCACGUGUAGCGGUGAAAUGCGUAAAGAUGUGGAGGACCACCAGUGGCGAAGGCGACUCUCUGGUCUGUAACUGACGCUGAGGCGCGAAAGCGUGGGGAGCGAACAGGAUUAGAUACCCUGGUAGUCCACGCCGUAAACGAUGAGUGCUAAGUGUUAGAGGGUUUCCGCCCUUUUAGUGCUGCAGCAAACGCAUUAAGCACUCCGCCUGGGGAGUACGGUCGCAAGACUGAAACUCAAAGGAAUUGACGGGGGGCCCGCACAAGCGGUGGAGCAUGUGGUAGG